GCGGUUCUUUAUUCAAUUUCCUCACAUAAUAAUUUACAGUGGUUUUGAGAUUAUCUUCGGUCUUCCUCGUCUCUUCAACUUGAAGGCUAUAUGAGGAAGCAAGUCAUGUUCUGAAUGAUGUUGUUGGAAGUAUAAGACUGCUGCGUCAUUUUGUGCAAAAGAGAAGGUCAUGAAAAUAUGCAGAACAAAGAGUAUAGGUCCAUCAAAUGCAGGAAUAAAGCAAGUUUUUUUAUUAGCAGAUAAGAUUUUGUCUGCCAUUUGUCUUUGUUUUGUUUAACAACCAAUUUUUACGCGGGAGCUCAUCUUAUUUAAAAUGGCAAAACAAAAUUUUUGGAUGUUUUCGUGCAUCUAAAUACCCCUUAUUAUAUUUUUUAAGGAUUUUAAUUAGAGCUUGUUAAGUGGUUGAUUUGUAGUAUUCGCAGCCUGACAAGUUUUUUGUGCUCUGAUGAUGACAACUAAAGCCAUGUGUCCUAGUCAAACUCAUUGGUACCUGUAUAUUCAAGAGUGAUGCUGCUACAAUAUUUGCUAUUCCACGCAAAAAACACGGAAAAAGAUAAAAUUCAAGUGAUGAUUCUGAUAUGACAGAGGUCACUCUGAACAAAGAUUUUGAGUUACAACAUGUAAACUUUAAAUGUCUAAGAAGGUAGAUUUUUAAUUUUUUUAGAGACCUUUGCUUGA